rnacentral:rRNA from 1 species
CCUACGGGUGGCAGCAGUGAGGAAUAUUGGUCAAUGGGAGAGAUCCUGAACCAGCCAAGCCGCGUGAGGGAAGACGGCCCUAUGGGUUGUAAACCUCUUUUGUCGGAGAACAAAACCCGGGACGUGUCCCGGGCUGCGUGUAUCCGAAGAAAAAGCAUCGGCUAACUCCGUGCCAGCAGCCGCGGUAAUACGGAGGAUGCGAGCGUUAUCCGGAUUUAUUGGGUUUAAAGGGUGCGUAGGCGGUCCGUUAAGUCAGCGGUAAAAUUGCGGGGCUCAACCCCGUCGAGCCGUUGAAACUGGCAGACUUGAGUUGGCGAGAAGUACGCGGAAUUCCUGGGGUAGCGGUGAAAUGCGUAGAUAUCAGGAGGAACACCGGCGGCGAAGGCGGCCUGCUGGACUGAAACUGACGUUGAGGCUCGAAAGCGUGGGGAGCAAACAGGAUUAGAUACCCGUGUAGUC